rnacentral:rRNA from 1 species
UACGUAGGGGCCUAGCGUUGUCCGGAUUUAUUGGGCGUAAAGAGCUCGUAGGCGGUUUGGUAAGUCGGGUGUGAAAUCUCCACGCUCAACGUGGAGGGGCCACCCGAUACUGCCAUGACUGGAGUCCGGCAGGGGAGACUGGAAUUCCUGGUGUAGCGGUGAAAUGCGCAGAUAUCAGGAGGAACACCGGUGGCGAAGGCGGGUCUCUGGGCAGUAACUGACGCUGAGGAGCGAAAGCGUGGGGAGCGAACAGG